UGUCCCAUGGCUUAGUUGGUUACGGCGUCCGACUGUUAACACUCUCCAAUCGGAAGAUCGAGAGUUCAAGUCUCUCUGGGACAG
rfam:Hypsizygus marmoreus strain 51987-8 scaffold_15, whole genome shotgun sequence.